rnacentral:sRNA from 1 species
AAAGCUUUUCAUGUCAUCUCUUAGUAUACAAAAAAGAAACUUAAGUUGCUUUUUUUUUCUUUUAUUCUCAAUUCAAGUGAUACCAAACUGCAAUUUGUGUUUACCACCAGACCAGCCAUGGGACAAAGAAUCCGGUGUUCAAAAUUUUCCUAGAAAACCAAAGAAGUCUGCUGCUAAACAGGUCGAUCUCAAUGUUGUGAUUGUUUCUGCAACUGAUACAAAACAAAGGCAAAAGUUUCUAAUUACUCAAAGACCCAAAAAAGGAUUACUGGCAGGCCUUUGGGAGUUUCC